GACGAACGCUGGCGGCGUGCUUAACACAUGCAAGUCGAACGGAAAGGCCCUGCUUUUGUGGGGUGCUCGAGUGGCGAACGGGUGAGUAACACGUGAGUAACCUGCCCUUGACUUUGGGAUAACUUCAGGAAACUGGGGCUAAUACCGGAUAGGAGCUCCUGCUGCAUGGUGGGGGUUGGAAAGUUUCGGCGGUUGGGGAUGGACUCGCGGCUUAUCAGCUUGUUGGUGGGGUAGUGGCUUACCAAGGCUUUGACGGGUAGCCGGCCUGAGAGGGUGACCGGCCACAUUGGGACUGAGAUACGGCACAGACUCCUACGGGAGGCAGCAGUGGGGAAUAUUGCACAAUGGGCGGAAGCCUGAUGCAGCAACGCCGCAUGCGGGAUGACGGCCUUCGGGUUGUAAACCGCUUUCGCCUGUGACGAAGCGUGAGUGACGGUAAUGGGUAAAGAAGCACCGGCUAACUACGUG
rnacentral:rRNA from 1 species